rnacentral:rRNA from 1 species
UCCAGACUCCUACGGGAGGCAGCAGUGGGGAAUAUUGCACAAUGGGGGAAACCCUGAUGCAGCGACGCCGCGUGAGCGAAGAAGUAUCUCGGUAUGUAAAGCUCUAUCAGCAGGGAAGAAAAAAAUGACGGUACCUGACUAAGAAGCCCCGGCUAACUACGUGCCAGCAGCCGCGGUAAUACGUAGGGGGCAAGCGUUAUCCGGAUUUACUGGGUGUAAAGGGAGCGUAGACGGCAUGGCAAGUCUGGUGUGAAAGGCAGGGGCUCAACCCCUGGACUGCAUUGGAAACUGUCAGGCUGGAGUGCAGGAGAGGUAAGUGGAAUUCCUAGUGUAGCGGUGAAAUGCGUAGAUAUCAGGAGGAACACCGGCGGCGAAGGCGGCUUACUGGACUGUAACUGACGUUGAGGCUCGAAGGCGUGGGGAGCAAACAGGAUUAGAUACCCGAGUAAA